rnacentral:rRNA from 1 species
AGCAGCCGCGGUAAUUCCAGCUCCAAUAGCGUAUAUUAAAGUUGUUGCAGUUAAAAGCUCGUAGUUGAAUUUCGGGAUCAAAGAAUCGGUCAUGCCUUGGUAUGUACUGGUUUUAUUGGUUCUCACCUUCUAAAGAACCCAUGAUGUCAUUCAUUUGAUGUUAUGGGGAAUUAGGACUGUCACCUUGAAAAAAUUAGAGUGUUUAAAAGCAAGCUUACGCUUGAAUACAUUAGCAUGGAAUAAUGAAAAUAGGACAUCAGAUUCUAUUUUUGUUGGUUUCUAGGAUCGAUGUAAUGAUUAAUAGGGAUAGUUGGGGGCAUUAGUAUUCAAUUGUCAGAGGUGAAAUUCUUGGAUUUAUUGAAGAUUAACUACUGCGAAAGCAUUUGCCAAGGAUGUUUUUCAUUAAUCAAGAACGAAAAGUUAGGGGAUCGAAGACGAUCAGAUACCGUCGUAGUCUUAACCAUAAACUAUGCCGACUAGGGAUCGGAUGAUGUUAAUUUUUUAAUGACUCAUUCGGCGC